ensembl:lncRNA uncharacterized LOC115611579
GAGCCGUUGUAGCUAUAGCAACAGGAACCCAAACAACUCUGUUCCCUCCGUGACAUGACUUUGUUGGGUGUUUCUUACAGCUGGAAUUCAACUGUGAUCAAACGUGCAGGUGACAGCUCUGCUGAGGAGGUAUAACACACACACAGCAGGACCUAAUCAAGCUGCAAAGUAACCUGAAGAGAUCAGAGCAGUGGGAGCUGUAGGCAACACUGAGGAAUUCAGGAGCAAUGCCAGCUCUGCACCACACAGUGAAGAAAUCAAUUGCCCUGUCACAAGAUGAAGAUUACAAAGAGGAGUUUCUUCCUCCACCAAACAUCUUUAUCACGCCUUCGUAUGGUGUCUCACUGCAGCAGGAGCCAGUGGAGGAAGUGUGCACCUACUGCUAAUGUGUAGGAUACACAAAGGGUGACAACGUCCAAAUGCUUCAACACAUCACUGAACGGCUCUUACAAACCCUCCUGUCACUAGAAAUCAAAAUGGAUGGAUGAAUAAUGGUCAGGCUGGAGCUUCUGCCUCUUGCCAGGAGUAGUGAGCAGAGAUUUAAAACCAGCUUGUAAGCAAUAUGCAGCCAAUCUAGAGCUACGUAAUCAGACCUAAAAUCAUCAGCAUUACACAUACAUCAACUUACCUCUGCAUAGGGAGUUACUGGUGUUUCUCAAAGGACCCUGGUUCAUCGACUGAAGUCAGGAAAAGAAUUACUUGUUUCACAAUCUUUUUUUCCCAACUGUAUUCACUGGCAGCACCGAAUAGGUUGUUUUUCUCCUUUCUAAAAGCUUGCAUUCUGAUUUAAUUGAAGAAAUAAGAUAAAGUCUGCCCCCCUAUAUACAUAAAAAAAAGUAUUUCAAAAUACAACACAUUGUAAAAUGUCCCCUUCAUGUAAAAUCCUACCACAGAUGAAA